AMWUUWWWWAAGGGUGCUUUCYUGCGGUCCCUGUUUUYCCYGMRGGCCCCSGCCGMCAGGGGKGAUGGAUAUSUKYKKRGGRSACCCUUGAGUUUGAUCCUGGCUCAGAACGAACGCUGGCGGCGUGCCUAACACAUGCAAGUCGAACGGAGUUGAGGGGCUUGCUCCUCAAUUUAGUGGCGCACGGGUGAGUAACGCGUAGAUAAUCUGCCUGAUGGUCCGGGAUAACAUUUCGAAAGGGGUGCUAAUACCGGAUAAGCCCACGGGAACUUUGGUUCUUGCGGGAAAAGGGGGGGACCUUCGGGCCUUCUGUCAUCAGAUGAGUCUGCGUACCAUUAGCUAGUUGGUAGGGUAAUGGCCUACCAAGGCUACGAUGGUUAGCUGGUCUGAGAGGAUGAUCAGCCACACUGGGACUGAGACACUGCCCAGACUCCUACGGGAGGCUGCAGUCGAGAAUCUUUGGCAAUGGGCGAAAGCCUGACCAUGCGACGCCGCGUGCGGGAUGAAGGCCUUCGGGUCGUAAACCGCUGUUACGAGGGACGAAGGCCCUUGUCGUGAACAACGGCAGGGGAUUGACGGUACCUCGGAAGAAAGCCCCGGCUAACUCCGUGCCAGCAGCCGCGGUAAUAC
rnacentral:rRNA from 1 species